GGAGAGGACCGGGUGGCCGCCGGUUCGCCUAGCGCGAACGGGAGGAAAGUCCGGGCACCAGAGGAUAGGGUGGUGGGUAACGCCCACCGGUCGCGAGACUAGGGAAAGUGCCACAGAAAAGAUACCGCCGAUGGGAGCUCUCGGCUUCACAGGUAAGGGUGAAAUGGUGCGGUAAGAGCGCACCAGCAGAUGGGGUGACCCGUUUGGCUUGGUAAACCCCACCCGGUGCAAGGCCAAACAGGAAGCAGAGUCGGUCCGACUCGUUACGACUUCCGGGUAGGCCGCUGGAGGUCACGGGCAACCGUGGUCGUAGAGGAAUGGCCACCAAUCCGCCAAGGCGGAUCACAGAACCCGGCUUAUUGGUCCUCUCUGGAU
rnacentral:RNase_P_RNA from 1 species